CUGUACAGCAACAAUUGAAAACACCAAUUCUUGUCCAAUCACUGAAGUUGACCCAUGUCGGGCCUAGUCAGUACUAUGGAGGGUGACCACUUGGGAUCACCAGGUGCUGUAAGCU